rnacentral:rRNA from 1 species
GGGGAAUUUUGGACAAUGGGCGCAAGCCUGAUCCAGCAAUGCCGCGUGCAGGAUGAAGGCCUUCGGGUUGUAAACUGCUUUUGUACGGAACGAAAAGCCUCUCUCUAAUACAGGGGGGUGAUGACGGUACCUUCAAAGGAAGCACCGGCUAACUCCGUGCCAGCAGCCGCGGUAAUACGGAGGGUGCAAGCGUUAAUCGGAAUCACUGGGCGUAAAGCGCGCGUAGGCGGCUUUUUAAGUCGGACGUGAAAGCCCUCGGCUCAACCGGGGAAUUGCGUUCGAAACUGGGAGGCUUGAGUCCUGGAGAGGGUGGCGGAAUUCCGGGUGUAGGAGUGAAAUCCGUAGAUAUCCGGAGGAACACCGGUGGCGAAGGCGGCCACCUGGACAGGUACUGACGCUGAGGCGCGAAAGCGUGGGGAGCGAACA